rnacentral:rRNA from 1 species
GAUGAACGCUGGCGGCGUGCCUAAUACAUGCAAGUCGAGCGAACGGACGAGAAGCUUGCUUUUCUGAUGUUAGCGGCGGACGGGUGAGUAACACGUGGAUAACCUACCUAUAAGACUGGGAUAACUUCGGGAAACCGGAGCUAAUAUCGGAUAAUAUUUUGAACUGCAUGGUUCAAAAGUGAAAGACGGUCUUGCUGUCACUUAUAGAUGGAUCCGCGCUGCAUUAGCUAGUUGGUAAGGUAACGGCUUACCAAGGCAACGAUGCAUAGCCGACCUGAGAGGGUGAUCGGCCACACUGGAACUGAGACACGGUCCAGACUCCUACGGGAGGCAGCAGUAGGGAAUCUUCCGCAAUGGGCGAAAGCCUGACGGAGCAACGCCGCGUGAGUGAUGAAGGUCUUCGGAUCGUAAAACUCUGUUAUUAGGGAAGAACAUAUGUGUAAGUAACUGUGCACAUCUUGACGGUACCUAAUCAGAAAGCCACGGCUAACUACGUG